GCCGGCGUAGCUCAACGGCAGAGCAAUCGCCUUGUAAGCGAUAGGUUGUGGGUUCGACUCCCUCCGCCGGCU
rnacentral:tRNA from 1 species